ensembl:misc_RNA
UUGAAGGCGUGGAGACUGAAGUCCUCUAUAUCCACAGAACAGGUAUGGCACAGGCAGCGGCAGUGCAGCUUUUCCACUGUCCCACCAAUGUGCCUCAGUGCUAGCCGAGAGGGACCAUGUGUUGAGGGCACGAGGGCUGUCAGUCUCCAUGCCCUUCAAUCUUUGGCUUCU